rnacentral:rRNA from 1 species
GACGAACGCUGGCGGCGUGCCUAACACAUGCAAGUCGAACGGGACCGGGGGCAACUCCGGUUCAGUGGCGGACGGGUGCGUAACACGUGAGGAACAUGACCUUCGGCGGGGGAUAGCCGGCCCAACGGCCGGGUAAUACCGCGUACGACCUUUCGGGGACAUCCCUGGAUGGUGAAAGCAGCAAUGCGCCGAUGGAGUGCCUCGCGGCCUAUCAGCUAGUUGGUGGGGUAACGGCCUACCAAGGCGACGACGGGUAGCUGGUCUGAGAGGAUGGCCAGCCACAUUGGGACUGAGACACGGCCCAGACUCCUACGGGAGGCAGCAGUGGGGAAUAUUGCGCAAUGGACGAAAGUCUGACGCAGCGACGCCGCGUGUGGGAUGACGGUCUUCGGAUUGUAAACCACUGUCGGGAGGGACGAAUACGCCGCAAGGCGGGUGACGGUACCUCCAAAGGAAGCACCGGCUAACUCCGUGCCAGCAGCCGCGGUAAUACGGAGGGUGCGAGCGUGUCGG